GCCUGAACGACUCCACAAGGCGUGGAUGAGCUCCGAGGCGGCCUGUCGGGUAUCGAGAGAGAACGAGGCAGAUCAGGAAGUUCUACUGCUCUGCAGAGGUGCGCUGACCACUUCUCGUUCAGCAAAGCGUGCAAGGGGCAGGCUCAGACCCGAGAAAGCCCAAAUGUCAAAGCCAAUCUGAAACCGCGGCCAGGAGCACACAAAACUACUGUCCUGCGCUGAGAUGCCGUUCAGAUGACGCAGCGGAAGAGGUAGUCACACCUCUCG
rnacentral:lncRNA from 1 species